rnacentral:rRNA from 1 species
UACAGGGGGGGCAAGCGUUGUUCGGAAUUACUGGGCGUAAAGGGUCUGUAGGUGGCCAACUAAGUCAGACGUGAAAUCCCUCAGCUUAACUGGGGAACUGCGUCUGAUACUGGAUGGCUCGAGUGUGGGAGAGGAAUGCGGAAUUCCAGGUGUAGCGGUGAAAUGCGUAGAUAUCGGGAGGAACACCAAUUGCGAAGGCAGCUCGCUGGGACGUUACUGACGCUGAGACGCGAAAGCGUGGGGAGCAAACAGG